AUGCAGGCACGAGUCGGUCUACUAAUAUUGGACGUGAUGCCUAUCUCUCCAGAGCAUCUAAUUAAACCAUACAUUGAACCUAUGACUAAUGGGCUGGCCCGUCCGAAACCAAAGCCCUAUUUUCUACUAGUGUUGGAGCCCUUUCCCAUGGAGAUCACGUACGCCCUCGUCCUCUCAGCAUACCAUGUCCAAUACCUGGCCACCUACGUCAAGACACCUAACAGCAGGGUCGAGUCCAUCACCAGGGUCGACCCCGCCGGCCGCUCGGGCCUUGAGGUGAAGUACGACUCACAGUGGAGUUCUGUCAGCCUUUUUUCCACCAGUGAUGUCCAGGCCACCAAGCAGUACAAGUUGAAGCAUGGUGGCACGAGGUACAAAGGAGUCUUUUCAAGGCAAUCUAUCAGCGGAGCAUCAUCAUUGAAGAAUCUUUUUGCGAGGUUCCCUCCUCGAGUUCAUUCAGACUACUAUCAUGCUGAUAUUGGAAACAUCUCCACAUCCCAUCUGCUUAGUGAUUCAUACAAGAGAUUGGAUUCAAAACUAGAAACUGAACCAAGACAUCCACUGUUUGGUGGCUGGCACUGCACUUUCACCAUUUGCCAUGGCAUGCCAUUACAAGAUUUCUUGUUUGAAUUUGCUAAAGGUCGGCACUUUGCCAACCUUACAUUUGGAUGCCCCCUACUGCAUAUUAUGUUUGAUAAUCUUACCAUCAAGGGGUCGAAAAGUCCACAAGCUGUUUACGGUCGCGUGGUUGUGGUAAGCCUCCUCUCCACUCACAUUGUUAUUCAUCUAGAUAUGAAUAUAUGUAACACUAAAACAUGUCUAGGUACAUCCAUAUCUAGACAAGUCUGA
rnacentral:rRNA from 1 species